AGAGUUUGAUCCUGGCUCAGAACGAACGCUGGCGGCGUGGAUAAGACAUGCAAGUCGAGCGGGACAUUUCGGGUAGCAAUAUUCGGAAUGUUCAGCGGCGCAAGGGUGCGUAACACGUGGGCAAUUUACCAUAAAGCUUGGGAUAACUCGCUGAAAGGCGAGCUAAUACCGGAUGUGAAAUUUGGGAGGCAUCUCCCGGAUUUUAAAGUUGGGGACCGCAAGGCCUGACACUUUAUGAUAAGCCCGCGGCCUAUCAGCUAGUUGGUGAGGUAACGGCUCACCAAGGCUAAGACGGGUAGCUGGUCUGAGAGGACGACCAGCCACACUGGAACUGAGACACGGUCCAGACACCUACGGGUGGCAGCAGUCGAGAAUUUUUCACAAUGGGCGAAAGCCUGAUGGAGCGACGCCGCGUGGGGGAUGAAUGGCUUCGGCCCGUAAA
rnacentral:rRNA from 1 species